rnacentral:rRNA from 1 species
GACGAACGCUGGCGGCGUGCUUAACACAUGCAAGUCGAACGGAAAGGCCCUGCUUUUGUGGGGUGCUCGAGUGGCGAACGGGUGAGUAACACGUGAGUAACCUGCCCUUGACUUUGGGAUAACUUCAGGAAACUGGGGCUAAUACCGGAUAGGAGCUCCUGCUGCAUGGUGGGGGUUGGAAAGUUUCGGCGGUUGGGGAUGGACUCGCGGCUUAUCAGCUUGUUGGUGGGGUAGUGGCUUACCAAGGCUUUGACGGGUAGCCGGCCUGAGAGGGUGACCGGCCAAAUGGGGACGGAGAUACGGCCCAGACCCCUAGGGGAGGGAGGAGGGGGGAAUAUUGCAAAAGGGGCGGAAGCGUGAUGCAGCAACGCCGGGGGGGGGAUGACGGCCUUCGGGUUGUAAACCGCUUUCGCCGGGGACGAAGGGUGGGUGACGGUAAUGGGGAAAGAAGCACCGGCUAACUACGG